rnacentral:lncRNA from 1 species
UGGUGGUGAAGGUAGUGUGGUUGCUAUGAUUGGUAGUGUGGUGAGAGAAGUGGAACUCGAUAUUGCCAUUGAUGAUGGCAUCACCAAUGUUGAUGUAGGUCAUCGCUUUUUGGAGAAUGAAAGGGUGCUAAUGCACUUGUGACUGCAAAGGAGGAAGGAAAGGUAACACUAGAAUCAUAAGCAUCAUGCCAUUGGGACGUAACCGAAUCAUGAUUGUGGUUAGA